UGGGGAAUUUUGGACAAUGGGCGAAAGCCUGAUCCAGCAAUGCCGCGUGUGUGAAGAAGGCCUUCGGGUUGUAAAGCACUUUUGUCCGGAAAGAAAUCCUCUGGGUUAAUACCUCGGGGGGAUGACGGUACCGGAAGAAUAAGCACCGGCUAACUACGUGCCAGCAGCCGCGGUAAUACGUAGGGUGCAAGCGUUAAUCGGAAUUACUGGGCGUAAAGCGUGCGCAGGCGGUUUUGUAAGACGGAUGUGAAAUCCCCGGGCUUAACCUGGGAACUGCAUUCGUGACUGCAAGGCUAGAGUAUGGCAGAGGGGGGUUAGAAUUCCACGUGUAGCAGUGAAAUGCGUAGAGAUGUGGAGGAAUACCGAUGGCGAAGGCAGCCCCCUGGGCCAAUACUGACGCUCAUGCACGAAAGCGUGGGGAGCAAACAGGAUUAGAUACCCUGGUAGUCCACGCCCUAAACGAUGUCAACUAGUUGUUGGGGAUUCAUUUCCUAGUAACGUAGCUAACGCGUGAAGUUGACCGCCUGGGGAGUACGGUCGCAAGAUU
rnacentral:rRNA from 1 species